UGGGAAUCCUAUGUCGGCCGAAGAAAUGGCAACUUGGGCCAAUCAGAGUGUUGAGAGAGCGGCGUGGAGCGGUGAGCGUGGGCGACUUCAGCACCAUGGAGAGGGCUCCCAACUAAGACAACGAGGCGGUGCUGCAACCUCCGACCAGCGGUCUCCUUCACCAAAAUAAACUGCGUUUUUUCUUAGCAAUUAGUCAACAUGACUUCACAGGUGGACAUGGGGAGUGGGGGGCGGUCAGUGGCAGCAGCGACAGCUGACCAUUACCAUUUCCCCUUUUACGCACGCAGCUUUUUAUUGACUUCUAGCUGCGUAAAUCAAUAGCGAUGUUUGAUAAUUAUUAACUACGACGCAGGGAUCGCUGCUGAUGCCCGGAGAUGACAUUUUGACAAAAGAACUUAUCUGUCUACGUGGACGCCCAGAGGCUCCGUAUUGAACUGGGAAUAGAAAAGGCAACACAAUAGGCGGAAGUGAAGUCUUUUCACUGUCCGCACCUACUGAGAAAAUAUCUUUGUGUCAUGUUGAAUGGAGAUAAGGGGCAGAGCGACAGGUGCAGGCGGCGCUGCGCGGACAGGGGUAAAGAAAAGACACCGGUCGCUGCUCCACAGGCACAAACAGCUGCUCAUUCAGCAGCACGGGCGGGUUUUUACAACAUAAACCUAGAGGCAAGUGAACAUAACACAGCAGCUAAACUUAACAGGCUGACAACAGGCCUACAGGCGGUGGUGUGUGUCUGCUUUUCAAACAUCUGCGUGCGGCUGCCACGCAAGGACAGACAGGUUACAGGCUCCAGAUGCACCUGCUCUGAGCUCAGGAAGGAUAUGGCCACUCUGUUAUUCGCUUUGCAUACUUCCUGAUGAGAUUGUCCUCGCGGAAGAUGAAGAGGGAGCGGUUGACAGUGAAGCAGUUUUGUUUGACAGGGUUCGGGUUGUAAAUGGCCAUUGUCCGGGCUCUCUGGGCCAUCGACUGCUUGUACAUCCUCUGGCCACCCGGAGCGCCGCCACCACCCCGGGCUCCCCCUCUCCCGGCGCCCGGCGCACCUCUCCCUCCGCUGCCUGCGCCUCCUCCAUAGCGGCUGAGAGCAACAGUAAAACGAGCCAAUCCAACACGAGCAGUUAUCCUUUGAUUUCUGUUUGAUCGCUGUAUGGGGGCUGAGGGCUAUAUAGCAAGUCCUCAGUGGAAUAAGGAGGAGCGCAUGUGACCAGCGCGGGCCUAUCGGUGACUGGAGCGCACAGACGCGCUCCCCGUCUGUUGGCUGCUCAUAAGAGACUGUAAAACUAAUGAAGUUCAGGGAAGCCCUGCGGGUCAGAACACGAGCCAUAGCUUAAUCAAUCUCUCUUUUAGCAUCAACAAGGGAAAAACAUGUUAUUUUUUUAUACAGAUCAAUGUAGUUUAUAAAAGUUUUAAGCGCCGAUUCUCUAAAGAAUCAGUCACUUUUCUCAGGAAUUUACAGUGAAUCAAUUAAUGUCAAUAAAAUAGUUUUUUUUCAUUAAUGAAAAGAAAUGCAAACCUACCUUGUUGGUACAAUCAAGUUGCUUUGGAUAAUGAAAAUUGAUAAAAAGAAAUAAAAAAAUGUGUAAUGCUUGUGAAUGUAAACCACUCUCCAUAUUUUCUUUAUCAUGUUUUCAUGUUUUUAACCCCUGUUUUCCUUCCUCGUUGUUUCAUGUCCCACAGAGCACACUGCUACAUGUGCAUAAAGCUAAUGAAGAAAUAUUUCAUGUUGGCUGAUAAAUAAUAAAUGUAUAGUCCUUUAGUUUGCCAGAAGUCAUUCACAGACAGAGAAAUGUAUCACGAACAUUAGUACUUAUUUUUGUGGUCAGUUAUACAUUUCAAAAAGUCUGCAGGACCUAAGUACAAACAGACGUGAACAGUGUUUUGUCUCAUUUUCUCCUGAGAUUUUUUAAAAACAGGGUUCAUGCAGAUGUAUGCAGAUGUGCUGAUGUUAUGACCUUUGCUGUGACUCCUCCUCAGGCUCGGUCAUCACAGUGCAGCUGCUGGAGCACACUGCCCUGAGCAGGACUCAAUCACUGGAGAUGAUUUGAAGGGUUUUUGGGAAUAUUUCUCCAUCAUGAACUGUUUCUCUGUGAAUGUCGAUUGUCUUUAAAGAAACAUAUGUAACCAGCUCGCUCAGUCUUCAGAGGUUCCAUUUUCAUUGUUUAUUCUUUUCGACUUAAUUUCUGUGUAUGGUAUUUAAUUAUUUACACUAUUCACACUGUCAGUGUUGUUGUUACAGUGUGUGCAGUGUGUGUGUGUGUGUCUUUUAAAGAACUAUGCUGUUGCUGUUUAUGUCAGCAGUUAAACAGCCAGUUAGUAGCAUCAUAGAAAGGACAUAAAGAAGCUGUGUUUAUGGCUGCAGGGACUCAUGGACCACUAUGAAUUUAGGCAACCCUUGGUUUAGAUGAACAUUCAUUAGCAUUGGGAAUGUUUUGUGUGUGGAGUUUACUGGAGAAAAUGAAUUUAAAUGCAACAUCAAAAGUUUUUACUUUGUCGCUUUGAUCUAAAGCUUGUAUUUCUUUGUCUUUUCUUUUUUUUCCAAGUCAUAAUAUAAAAAUAGUCUGAACCAGUGUCCUUACUGCAGGGCACAGCUUGAGCUUCAUCUAGUUGUGACUAACCACAUGUUAAUAUUCAGAGAUUACAAAAAUAUUUUGUUGGGCUAUUUUGCAGAUAAACAAAUAGAUAACAGCCGACUUCUCUGGUUUAUAUAUAUAUAUAUAUAUAUAUAUAUAUAUAUAUAAAAACAUGUGCUUACCUUCUCAAAUGUAACACAUUCAUUCUUUGUAGUUCGCUCUUAUUGGCCAGCUGCACGCCAACGAGACCAGUUGUUAACAAACUCACAUCUAGAGGCCAUUUAUAACUUGAUUAAGCUCAUUAUUAAUUCAGCAUCUAUAAAUCAUCAUCAUCAUCUGCAGCCAAGUCAUUAUGGUUUAGAUACAGUGGAGGAGCCAUCUAGUGGUUCAGUUGAUGCACUGCAGUAAGAAUGAAGAUAGCUGCACCGCAGUGUUUAGAGUUUUCUGACAAAGAGCCACUUUAUUAUUUAUCCAAUCUUGAUAUUGCAGCAGCUGUUGUGGAAAUAAUAAAAUCCCCAUUGGAGAAUAUCCAGAGUUUUGGAGUGAGUCAUGGCUUUCUCUUGUAAACAGUGUUAAAUAAUUUGAAAAGUGAUGGCUGCCUUUAUAAAAAGUUUAACAUCCUACAGAAAGAGGCCGAAUCACUGACUGGACAAAGAGGGUCCAAGACCCCCAGGGGCCCUGAAAGCUCUGGGCUUUAUUUGUCGGUGUCAAAUGUUUUUUGCUGAUUUAAUUGAAAUUUUAUUUGGCAAAAUGCAUCAAUAAAGCACAACAUAUAAUGAC